AGUGAACGCUGGCGGUAGGCCUAACACAUGCAAGUCGAACGGCAGCACAGGAGAGCUUGCUCUCUGGGUGGCGAGUGGCGGACGGGUGAGGAAUACAUCGGAAUCUACUCUGUCGUGGGGGAUAACGUAUGGAAACUUACGCUAAUACCGCAUACGACCUACGGGUGAAAGCAGGGGACCUUCGGGCCUUGCGCGAUUGAAUGCGCCGAUGUCGGAUUAGCUAGUUGGCGGGGUAAAGGCCCACCAAGGCGACGAUCAGUAGCUGGGCUGAGAGGAUGAUCAGCCACACUGGAACUGAGACACGGUCCAGACUCCUACGGGAGGCAGCAGUGGGGAAUAUUGGACAAUGGGCGCAAGCCUGAUCCAGCCAUACCGCGUGAGUGAAGAAGGCCUUCGGGUUGUAAAGCCCUUUUGUUGGGAAAGAAAUCCAGCUGGCUAAUACCCGGUUGGGAUGACGGUACCCAAAGAAUAAGCACCGGCUAACUUCGUGCCAGCAGCCGCGGUAA
rnacentral:rRNA from 1 species